UACGACUUCGCGCUUGCCAGGCAGACGCUGUGCCGCUGAGCUAAAUCCCCAGCCCCCAGUGCAGAGUCCAGGCUGGUGUGGUCAGGCUCCAUCUAGUGCGAGGUCCCCUUCUGGGAAACCGGGGCACAAGGCUGAAGGCGUCUGCUGAGGACUUGUUCCCGGGCCUCAGAGACUCCAGCUCGAAGAAGAGGCUCGGUGAGAACCGCAGAGUCCCGGGAGCCGCCAUCGUGGUGACAAAUGACAGACGCAGCCCUCAAGCCCCUGCCAGGGCUCUGCUGUGGCGUGCCUUCUGCAGCGGUGAGACGCACUGCCCUCCCCAGGCCCCCGACAGCUCUUCUUCGGCCUCCAUCACCAGACCAGCGAGUGCCAGAUUUCCGCCAGCACAGGCCGAGGCGUCCAAAGACUCCAAGCUGUGGGGGAAAUUCUACGCAUUGUUCUACCCAUUGUGCAGCUACCUCAUACUUUCUCUUCAGGGUUAUGAAGCAAGGCUAUGGACUGACAUCCAAGCUGCUUUAACAUAUUACCAUAAAGACAAACAAAAACUUUAACGAACAUGUGUUGAAUAUUCCAGAUGAAGGGAAGGCAUUACACGGGGGAUGGAGGGAAGAAGGAAAUUCUUCUCCCCACAGUGGUGGACAAAAUACAGUAACACACAAUACUUUGCAAAGUAGUGUUUAAACAAACAAGCACCGUAUUUGAUACACAAAUAAAAUAUUGUGGGAACGUGCAGGGAUCCGCUCACAGCAAAGACCCUCAAGCUAAUUUGUGGACCCUGCUGGCAAGCAUUGGACAGAUGGUGGGAGGCACAGGAGUGUGGUCAGGACGUUUCAUUCAUCUUUGCAGAAACAGCAUGGUAGUUGGAUGGCUGAGCCGGCUCACACUCAGGCAUCAGUCAGAAGAAACCAAGGCUGGGGACCCAGGGCACAGGAGUGCACUCUUCACAGACCAUGGGGCAACUGCUCUCAGAGACAACUUGGUAAUAAAUUAUAAUUCCCACACA